GGGUGAUGGCGUGCCUUUUGUAGAAUGAACCGGCGAGUUACGUUCCCGUGCAAGGUUAAGGUGAAGAGCUGAAGCCGCAGCGAAAGCGAGUCUGAAUAGGGCGAAUGAGUACGUGGACGUAGACCCGAAACCGGGUGAUCUACCCCUGUCCAGGGUGAAGGUGCGGUAACACGCACUGGAGGCCCGAACCCACGCAUGUUGAAAAAUGCGGGGAUGAGGUGGGGGUAGCGGAGAAAUUCCAAUCGAACCCGGAGAUAGCUGGUUCUCCCCGAAAUAGCUUUAGGGCUAGCCUCGGAAAGAAGAAUCGUGGAGGUAGAGCACUGAUUGGGUGCGGGGCCCGCAAGGGUUACCAAGCUCAGUCAAACUCCGAAUGCCAUGGAUUUAGUUCCGGGAGUCAGACAGUGAGUGCUAAGAUCCAUUGUCAAAAGGGAAACAGCCCAGACCAUCAGCUAAGGUCCCCAAGUGUGUGUUAAGUGGGAAAGGAUGUGGAGUUGCACAGACAACCAGGAUGUUGGCUUAGAAGCAGCCACCAUUGAAAGAGUGCGUAAUAGCUCACUGGUCGAGUGACUCUGCGCCGAAAAUGUAACGGGGCUAAACACACCACCGAAGCUAUGGCUUGAUGCUUUGCAUCAGGGGUAGGGGAGCGUUGAAUGCGGGUUGAAGGUGUACCGGAAGGAGCGCUGGACUGCAUUCAAGUGAGAAUGCCGGUAUGAGUAACGAAAAGAUCUGUGAGAAUCAGAUCCGCCGAAAGCCUAAGGGUUCCUGAGGAAGGUUCGUCCGCUCAGGGUAAGUCGGGACCUAAGGCGAGGCCGAUAGGCGUAGUCGAAGGACAACAGGUGGAAAUUCCUGUACCACCGUAAUCCG
rnacentral:rRNA from 1 species